AUAAUGGGUCAGCGACUUAUAUUCUGUAGCAAGGUUAACCGAAUAGGGGAGCCGAAGGGAAACCGAGUCUUAACUGGGCGUUAAGUUGCAGGGUAUAGACCCGAAACCCGGUGAUCUAGCCAUGGGCAGGUUGAAGGUUGGGUAACACUAACUGGAGGACCGAACCGACUAAUGUUGAAAAAUUAGCGGAUGACUUGUGGCUGGGGGUGAAAGGCCAAUCAAACCGGGAGAUAGCUGGUUCUCCCCGAAAGCUAUUUAGGUAGCGCCUCGUGAAUUCAUCUCCGGGGGUAGAGCACUGUUUCGGCAAGGGGGUCAUCCCGACUUACCAACCCGAUGCAAACUGCGAAUACCGGAGAAUGUUAUCACGGGAGACACACGGCGGGUGCUAACGUCCGUCGUGAAGAGGGAAACAACCCAGACCGCCAGCUAAGGUCCCAAAGUCAUGGUUAAGUGGGAAACGAUGUGGGAAGGCCCAGACAGCCAGGAUGUUGGCUUAGAAGCAGCCAUCAUUUAAAGAAAGCGUAAUAGCUCACUGGUCGAGUCGGCCUGCGCGGAAGAUGUAACGGGGCUAAACCAUGCACCGAAGCUGCGGCAGCGACGCUGAUGCGUUGUUGGGUAGGGGAGCGUUCUGUAAGCCUGCGAAGGUGUGCUGUGAGGCAUGCUGGAGGUAUCAGAAGUGCGAAUGCUGACAUAAGUAACGAUAAAGCGGGUGAAAAGCCCGCUCGCCGGAAGACCAAGGGUUCCUGUCCAACGU
rnacentral:rRNA from 1 species